rnacentral:rRNA from 1 species
UUGUGGUUAAAAAGCUCGUAGUUGGAUCUCAACAGCCUUGAAGCGGUUAACUUUGUAGUUUUACUGCUUUAUAGGCUGUGCUUUUGCUGGAGGUUUAGGGGUGCUCUUGAUCGAGUGUCUCUGGAUGCCAGCAGGUUUACUUUGAAAAAAUUAGAGUGCUCAAAGCAGGCUAAAAUGCCUGAAUAUUCGUGCAUGGAAUAAUAGAAUAGGAUGUCGAUCCUAUUUUGUUGGUUUUCGGGACUCGACAUAAUGAUAAAUAGGGACAGUCGGGGGCAUUUGUAUUCAAACGACAGAGGUGAAAUUCUUGGACCGUUUGAAGACAAACUACUGCGAAAGCAUUUGCCAAGAAUGUUUUCAUUAAUCAAGAACGAAAGUUAGAGGUUCGAAGGCGAUUAGAUACCGCCCUAGUUCUAACCAUAAACGAUGCCAGCUAGCGAUCUGCCUGCG